CCUACGGGAGGCAGCAGUGGGGAAUAUUGCACAAUGGGGGAAACCCUGAUGCAGCGACGCCGCGUGAAGGAAGAAGUCUUUCGGGAUGUAAACUUCUAUCAGCAGGGAAGAAAAUGACGGUACCUGAGUAAGAAGCCCCGGCUAACUACGUGCCAGCAGCCGCGGUAAUACGUAGGGGGCAAGCGUUAUCCGGAAUUACUGGGGGUAAAGGGAGCGGAGACGGCAAUGCAAGUCCGGCGUGAAAUCGGGCGGCUCAACUGCCGAACUGCUCUGGAAACUGGAUGGCUUGAGUGCAGGAGGGGUAGGUGGAAUUCCUGGUGUAGCGGUGAAAUGCGUAGAUAUCAGGAGGAACACCGGUGGCGAAGGCGGCCUACUGGACUGUGACUGACGUUGAGGCGCGAAAGCGUGGGGAGCAAACAGGAUUAGAUACCCUGGUAGUC
rnacentral:rRNA from 1 species